CGUGCCUACCGUACGAACAACAACGAUGCAACCACGCGCACCAGCUUCGGGAAGUAUCAUCACAAGUCCAUCCGCGACAAAUAUAUUAUCAAUCGACUCAGAAUCCUGAGAUCUAUCGAAUGAGGCAUACCAUUUUUUGAUUUAACGAUGCCGAAAACACCCUAGUGUUCAUAAUGUAUGGACCAACAUAUCGAAAAUGGAACCAUUUUUUUUCUGCGCCAACCUACCGCUCAGAUUCGAUUCAACUGUCAUAAGACAUCAUUGUGCUUUUUCGUCGAAAAUGACGAAAUUAUUUAUGAAUAAUAUUUCAAAAGGCCGAACACUUCCAACGAAUGGUACUGUGCCACCACCAAUGACCGAAGCAGAUCGGGCAAGAAUCAUUCAACUUCUGCAGGACAUUCUUGCAGAUCCGAAUACUCCACAAGCUAAUCGAGAAAAAGCAACAGAAGCAUUGGCGAUCAUUCGACCAUAAGCAGGCAACUAGCACCAAAAGUUACAGUCUGACGCAUUCAAAACAUUGCGAUUAAGUUCAGUGACUGAACUUCAGUCUUAAACUAAGAAUAUGAGUUUUUGAUUUUCAAAUAAAAAUCAAUAGAUUUACAAAAACAA